rnacentral:rRNA from 1 species
UAGAUACCCUGGUAGUCCACGCCGUAAACGAUGUAAAACAACUAGCCGUUGGAAGCCUUGAGCUUUUAGUGGCGCAGCUAACGCAUUAAGUUGACCGCCUGGGGAGUACGGCCGCAAGGUUAAAACUCAAAUGAAUUGACGGGGGCCCGCACAAGCGGUGGAGCAUGUGGUUUAAUUCGAAGCAACGCGAAGAACCUUACCAGGCCUUGACAUCCAAUGAACUUUCCAGAGAUGGAUUGGUGCCUUCGGG